UGAAUUCGGGACCUUGCGCUUUCGAGGCAGGUGGCAGAACCACUGAGCUAAAUCCCCGGCCCUGCUGAAAAAUAUUGGAUGGAAUGAGUAUUUACAUUGGCUUUUAGUGGACACUUAACACAUCUAAUUCACGCAUUGUCCUAACGUAUUUUUCAAAUAUUUUCACUUUUUUCCCAAAGACCACAAACUUUCAUGUACAACUCAGCUCUUCUACAAGCAGUUUCUCUGGGCUUUAUGUGAGCUUCAGCUAUUUAAUUGAGUACAUUUCAUUAACAUUUUUUUAUUUCAGAAAGGAAAAUAAUGACUAAAAUGGUAGUGAACAUUUCGUAUUAAGACUGUCUGCAAAUAUUGAUUAUAAUACUGCAAAUAAAAGAAGAAAAAAUAAAAACAAGGAACCAAAUCUUGGAAAGAAUGCACAACUCUGCAGAGAGGAUGAAUACUAGCUCAGUUCAGUGAAUUCAUGUUUGUUUCAUAAAGAAGCCAUUUCUGCACACUAUUUCCAUUUGGCAAGAAUAAUUAAUCUUCAAUAUAUAAAAAAAGACUGCGAGAGACCACUUGGAGAAGAAAUGAGUAAAAUAAAGGCCAGGAGAAAGUGGGAGAAACAGAAAGGAAGCAAUACCUGUGUGCUUCCAUAGGGUUCACAAUUUUCUGAGGUUA